GCGACACCCCGUGACGCGGGACUACAC
rnacentral:rRNA from 1 species